UCAGGAUGAACGCUAGCUACAGGCUUAACACAUGCAAGUCGAGGGGUAGCAGGGUAGCAAUACCGCUGACGACCGGCGCACGGGUGAGUAACACGUAUCCAACCUUCCCAUAACUCAGGGAUAGCCUUUCGAAAGAAAGAUUAAUACCUGAUAGUACUUUUUCAAGGCAUCUUGAGAAAGUUAAAGAUUUAUUGGUUAUGGAUGGGGAUGCGUUCCAUUAGAUAGUUGGUGAGGUAACGGCUCACCAAGUCUUCGAUGGAUAGGGGUUCUGAGAGGAAGGUCCCCCACAUUGGUACUGAGACACGGACCAAACUCCUACGGGAGGCAGCAGUGAGGAAUAUUGGUCAAUGGGCGAGAGCCUGAACCAGCCAAGUAGCGUGAAGGAUGAAGGUCCUAUGGAUUGUAAACUUCUUUUAUAGUAGAAUAAAGUGAUCCACGUGUGGAUUUUUGUAUGUAUACUAUGAAUAAGGAUCGGCUAACUCCGUGCCAGCCGCAGC
rnacentral:rRNA from 1 species